AACAAAAAUACUUACAAACGCAUCUUAUAUAAAAGGCAUGUUACAUAAUAUCUGACCCACUUGGCUGAGCUUCUUUGCACUCAAUCAGCAGAGCUCUUGCAUAAUAACAUCAGCCAUUGCAAAUCACUUUUGAUUCUCACACGAUUAGAAAAAAAAAAAGAUAACUUCAUCCAAUGAUUCACACGCCUUAUAUAAUUUUCUAUGCUGCAGAAAAACACUGAAUCAGUGUAACUAGGAUAGUGGCUCUUGAUGUGUCCCAAAUCAAGUACAGUUUAAAUACCAGAGCUCAUACAGAAAGAAGAUGGGAGUUUCUUUACUUUCAGAACUGGUCAUGUAAACUGGACAGAUUACAUGUAUGCCUCAACUCAACAUCUUAUCACUUUCAGUCAUUCAUACAAAUUACCCCUAAGCAUUACACAUAUUACUAGGUACCAUUUUUUAAAACGGUUUUACAAACAAAAGAAAACAAACAAAAAAAGAUAAUAGUUACAUUAUUGUAAAAAUCACAAAGGGAGCACAUGCAUGUUAUAAAUUUAUUUGACUAUGAUGGCUAAAAGUAUAUGCCUCUAUGUACACAACUAUGGCUAUCAUAAAAAAGUGAUUUAUCAUAAGUGGCCUACAGUACCAUACCCAAUUACAAAACCCUAACAGAAAACUUACCAUGGUAACUAAUUUGGCCCCGCGAAUCAACUACUCGUUUAACGUUUAAUUUGCGACCUCUUAGAAUGCGUAAAAUGUUAUUUCCUGUUUGUUUGCACUAGUGCUUACCAAGUUAAUUGUUACGAUACGAGUUGUAAACAUACAGCCGACGGUAACAUCCAGUACACCUUUAGAAAAAAAAAGUAAUCCAAUGCAAGCAUACAGAAGCAAAAAUAUAAAAAUAUCGCUACAUUUCAUGGAUGCUAGACGCAGUUGAGCACACCGGCUAGCACUGUUAAGAGGGUGCACGAGACAACGCGUGUGAUUGUUUUGGUUUUAUACGCCUCAUUAAUAGACAUCUUUCAUUCUUUCAUUUUCAUUAGAACAUAACCGUGCCGAAUGUUAAAAUAAAUACAGGCAGUGCUUCAAUACACGUUUGUUUGCACGUCGUUUCAUUCAGAAGACAGAACGGAGAUGCGCUUCCGCGCGGCUAACUCGACACGCGCGUCUCACAAAAGCUAACUCCACAAGCGUGCUCUGCAACUGAACCGCCUACUCAUUUACAGGAAAAGGUUUUGAAGUGUAAGGAUGCGCAAGGAAAAGGAUGGUGCAGUUUCCUGCAGAGGGCAGCAUGAGACCACUUUCACAGAACAGAACCUCUUCCAUGAUACAUUUGGGGUCCUUUGGCAUCCUUUGUACAGCUGUAGUCAUUAUUCACUUCAUUGGCCUACAUUCAAAAGAUUUGUGCUCCACGCAAGAAAAGUAAUGGAUGAUAAAUUCAAGUGAAUAAAUAAGGAGAAGAAAAACACUGGCUGCAAGGAAAGCUGAGAAAGAGAGUUAGGAAGGCAACAGUGACUGUGUAACAUACUGUCUACUGCAAUUCUUUCAUUUGAAACAUUUUUGAUGUAUCCUUCACUGCCUAUGAUAUCCCACUAUCCUGUGCAAUGGAUGACAGCUGAGCUACAAAAAAGGUACUGUGAAAUUGUGAAAUGGUUGGUCUGUUUUAUUUGAUUUUUAGUGAGAAAUUAGUAUUCCCAUAAUAUAAAUAUUUGCAUAUUAGUCACUGUAAAGUCAAUGGUAGGGCAGCGAGGCAAGUCAGCAGCAUAAGCUGUCAGAUACAGUCAUUAUAAAAUAAACGUAUUUCUUAUUUCACUUCAAUUUUAAUAUACAUUCCUUUAAAAGGGUGCUUACAUAAUGGUGCUUUUUAGUUCC